CAAUAGCGUAUAUUAAAGUUGUUGCAGUUAAAAAGCUCGUAGUUGGAUUUCUGGUAGGAGUGACCGUUCCGAACUUGAUUGUUCGUGUAUUGUGUUUUCUCCAGCCAUCCUUGUGGAGAACUUUUCUUGCAUUAAUUUGUAGGGAUUGGGACCCGCAUCGUUUACUGUGAAAAAAUUAGAGGGUUUAAAGCAGGCAAUCGCUUGAAUACAUUAGCAUGGAAUAAUAAGAUAGGACUUUGGUACUAUUUUGUUGGUUUGCAUACCAAAUUAAUGAUCAACAGGAACAGUUUGAGGAUAUUCGUAUGAACAUGUCAGAGGUGAAAUUCUUGGAUUUUGAUCAGACGAACUACUGCGAAAGCAUUUAUCAAGGAUGUUUUCAUUAA
rnacentral:rRNA from 1 species